GAAUGGGGUUGCGCAUGGUGAUCGAUGCUUGGUCUGUGCUUCAUCGACGAAACACUGUCAUAUAUUACAAGACUCGUUAGAUUUGAAAAAGGUGCUUGAAGCGACGUUCGAGGUGAAGUGUCUUGGGGCAAAGGUUGCGGAAUCGUCAUGCUAGCCAUUGCCUGCAAGCCAGACUGUCCAUGCGGUUAACUAUAAUACAAAGAGGUUAGCUAAACGCGACACAUGCAAAGAAGUGAUCAUUGAAAUAUUUACACCAGAGCCGGCUUGGUCCAUCAGUUGCAUUGCCUGCAGAACCGGGCAAGGUGAUUCUUUAGUAUGGUGCCUUCUGGCUCGGGCAACGGAGGCAAUUGAUCACCCGCACCGGUAGGUGGGUUUAUCUUAUUGCUGUCUAGAU